UAUCGGAAACACCAUUGUCGUCCAAUCCCUCCAUCUCCACCAUCCGUUAUCCUUCCUUUGCCGGUCCUCGUCUCUCCCUCUUAUUCCCUCGCUCUCCUCUCAGAUAUUUCUGCCCCCCAUCGCCGUCAUCGCCGGCUCUUCCCCCAAACCCUAUUCUCCUUCCCUUCUCCAUCCCUAGCGUUGGAAGAAGAAGCCAAAAGGAAACGAAAUCCCCUUCGAUCUCGAUCUCUUUUUAGAGAGGCGAAGGGAGCGGAGAAGAGGGAGCGAUGGAUUCGGAUCAGGGGAAGCUGUUCAUCGGGGGGAUAUCGUGGGAGACGACGGAGGAGAAGAUGAAGGAGUACUUCUCCAAGUACGGGGAGGUGCUGCAGACAGUGAUCAUGAGGGACAAGACGACGGGCCGGCCCCGGGGUUUCGGCUUCGUUGUCUUCGCCGAUCCUUCCAUCCUCGACCGCGUCCUCCAGGAUAGUCACACCAUCGAUGGCCGGACGGUGGAAGCAAAAAGGGCUCUCUCUCGAGAGGAACAGCAGGCAUCCAAAUCUGGAAACCCUGCUGUUGGCAGAACUGGAGGAGGACAUGUUAGUGGUGGUAACUUUAGGACUAAGAAGAUAUUUGUUGGAGGGUUGCCCCCAACUUUAACAGAAGAAGCAUUCCGUCAGUACUUUCAGGGUUAUGGAGAUGUGACUGAUGUUGUGGUUAUGUAUGACCAAAACACCCAGCGUCCUCGAGGGUUUGGUUUUAUCUCUUUCAGUUCAGAAGAUGCUGUUGAUCGAGUGCUACACAAGACUUUCCAUGAGCUCAAUGGAAAACUUGUGGAGGUGAAGCGUGCACUCCCAAAGGAUGCAAACCCUAGCAGUGGUGGUGGUCGUCCGGUAGCUGGAGGGCCUUAUCAAUCUAACAGUGCUUCUGGUGUUAAUAUGAGUUCCUAUGAUGGUAGAGCUGAUACUGGUAGGUAUAUGCAACCACCAGCAGCUGGAGGUGGUUACCCAGCAUAUGGUUCAACAGGCUAUGGUACACCUGGAUAUGGUUAUGGAGCAGCAAACAAUGGUGUGGGAUAUGGAGGUUAUGGCGUUGGUGGCUAUGGAAGUGCUGCAGCUGGAUAUGGAGGACCUACUGGUGCCUAUGGAAAUCCAAAUGCCCCAGCUGCAGGUUAUCCAAGCGGUCCACCAGGUGCGCCUCGAAGCCCUUGGAGCAACCAAGCUCCAUCUGCUUAUGGCUCUGCAAGCUAUGGUGCAAAUACAGGCUAUGGGGCACCGGGUUCAUGGAAUGCAGCAGGUAGUGGUGGGGCUGCUGCCCCAACUGGUCAGUCUCCUAGUGGGACUACUGGAUAUGGGAAUCAGGGAUAUGGGUAUGGUGGCUACAGCGGGGCUGAAGUCUCUUACGGCAGUCAAGGUGGCUAUGGGGCUGUGGGUGCCCGUGGCAGUGGUGGUCCACCUACCAAUCCUGCUGGUGGCCCGGGAGACCAAGGGGCCGGUUCUGGCUACAUGGGUGGGAGCUAUGGUGAUGCAAGUGGUGGCUCUGGUUAUCCAAAUUCUUGGAGGACUGAUCCUUCGCAAGGUAUGGGUUAUGGAACCGGCCAAGUGAAUGGGCCAGCUGGUUAUGGUGGUGCCUAUGGUGGUGCUCAGUCGAGGCAGGCUCAGCAGCAGUAAUCAGGAUGGUGGGAUCAUAAUUCCACCAUGGAAUCAGGCUCAAGAAUUGGUUCUUGAAUUUUGUCAUGAGGCCUGCUGCAUCACUUGGUUUUCUUGGCUGUUCAGAGGACCGGCUGUUGCUGAGGAAAGCAGUUUUCUGGGACCGGGGCUGCCGUACUUGUUCUCUUUCCUCUCCACCAACAUUGAAGCCUUUCACCAGGUGAGGUUAUAAAGCACUGAGGAACCUCUAUUAAUAGUCUGGCGAUAACUCAAGCGCAGGAGGAUGCUUCCAAAUCUGAUAAUUUGUUUUUAUUCAUCACAUUGGAAGUGGCUAUUGACUUAAUCGAUUGUUGAAGGGCGUUGCCUUGCACGUCACAGCAGGUGAUUUUUUGAAAUGGAUAAUCCCGGCUCCUUUUAACUGUUGGGCAGCCUCAUUCGUUUUUGCUGCUUGAUGCUGCAAGAUUUCUUUGAAAAUUAUUUUAGGGAUGGUUGAUGAGCCUUGUGAAACAAAAUGAUUGAAAUUUAAUUGCAGGAAUCUUUUGUCUUAUUAGGUUUGAGAACCUGGAAACUUUUUAAUUUUUCAUAUACUCGAUAAAGAGAGGUGGUUGGUGGCGUCUGGCUA